CUAAAAAUCACGAUAUUUUCUGAAUCUAUCAACAGGGGCCAACUUAAGGAUACUUAUUUAGUCGAUUCAUCGGCUUCCAAAUUCGACUAUUGUAGAGAUCUUGAGUGGACUACUCUAAAUUAAAAACUUAUUUAGUUUUGUUUGUUUGACAUUUUUCAACAGUAUUGUUAUGUUAGUUUAUUUAUCUAGUUUAUAAAUAUUUAUUUACUUUAAAAUUAUAAAAAUGGAUAUGUUAAACUUACUAAUAAAUCCAAAAUCUAUGAACAGAGUAUGUUUUUUGUGUUAUAAAGAAAGCGAAAAUACAACCGAUUUACACGAAGAUAUUGAAAUACACGAUGAAUAUUUUAGUUUGAAUUUAACUUUAUGGAAUAUUAUGAAACAGUUAUUUCCAUCUCACGAUCUAUUUCUAUCACAAGCAUGUGAUGACUGUGCAAGCCUAAUUAUUAAGUUGUUUAGCCUCAUGCAAAGGAACUAUUUAAAAAAUGAAAUGUUGAACCUCCUUGUAAAUAAUAUUAACGAAGAAGUUGACAACAAAACAGUAUGUGAACGACAACCAAAAAAGUACAAAUUAAGGGUUCAAUUACCUACUGGUGAGAGUAUAAUAAAUAAUACUAAAGAACAGCUUAAUAGUUUAAUAGCUGUAAAAUGUUCAAAAUGUGAUAUGAAAUUCAAAUCUAAAGUAUUACUAGAGAAACAUUAUAAAAUUACUCAUAGGAAUACAAGUUCUGCUAGAAUCUGUGAUAUUUGUGGCAAAGAACUAAAAAAUAAUUCAACAUUAAAAGUUCAUUUGGGCGGCCAUAAAGGAAAGCAAUGUCCCCAUUGUUUUAUAGUGUUGAAAUCUCACUCACAUUUCAAUUUGCAUUUGAAAAAUCAUGCUGCGUUAUCAAGAAGAAAACGAAAAUCUAAAUUACAUGACUGUGGUAGUUGUGACUACCGAAGUAUCAACAAAAACAGUUUAGAAGCUCAUAUUAAUAAGGUCCAUUUAAAUAUCAGGCCUUACAAAUGUACCGAGUGCGGAAAAGGCUUUUAUAAGAAGAGCAACUUAACUCAGCAUUUUGUUACUCAUGAAAAAGUGAAGGAUAAAACGUGUGAGAUUUGUGGUGACACAUUCGUCAAUGAAAAAACUUUAUUUGAACAUUUAAUGUUGCAUUCUGGUCAGAAACCUUUUAAAUGUGAGAUUUGUGGUGCUGACUUUAUCACCUCAGGUCGGAGACUUGAGCAUAUGAAGAGAAAACACAUGGAAAAGACAGAGUGUUGCGUAAUUUGUGAUAAGAAAUUCAGUUUGAAGAAAAAUCUUAAUUCACAUUUAAAAAAAGUUCAUGCGACAUUGUGUUUUGAAACUUGAUAAGGCACAACUGAAUUGGUGUAAGCAAUUAUUUUGCAGUUUCAGUAUUUGCUUCAAGUAUUAUUUUUUAAUUGUUACAUAAGUUAUUAGGUUGGCAGCUAUGUUUGUAUUAUUUCUAGUCUUAUAAGAAAAAGUAUUAUGUACGAAAAUGUAUGGCAAACUGUUUAAAAUUAAUUGCUUUAUUUAAUUCAUGCUAUCAAAUUACGACAUAAAAUAAAAGCUCACGCUAUUCAUCGCUAGAUGUCGGUAGUAAAACUUAUUAAGGCAGCAUAGUUAGUAUUACGUACGGGUCGAAAUGCUAUGUAUGUAAUAAACUUCCAUAUUCCCAUUGAAACAAACCCACGAUGAAAGGAAACUCCUUUCUUCGAGAAAAAAAAAACAAGUUUAACUGUAGCUUAGAUUUAUUUUUAUAAAAAAAUAAGGUACAAAAGGACACUUCAUAUUUUCAACAAAGAAUUGUCAAAUUUACUCCUCUAUGCCUCUAUCCUAUACAAUAAAUAUACAAAAUACGGCAGUGUAAUGAGUAUUAUUAAUUAAAAACUAUUACAAGCAA